rnacentral:rRNA from 1 species
AUUGAACGCUGGCGGUAUGCUUAAUACAUGCAAGUCGAACGGAAACGACAGGAGCUUGCUCCUAGGCGUCGAGUGGCGGACGGGUGAGUAACGCGUAGGAAUCUGCCAAGUAGUGGGGAAUAGCUCGGGGAAACUCGGAUUAAUACCGCAUAAUCCUUACGAGGGAAAGGAAGCCUCUUCUUGAAAGCUUUCGCUACUUGAUGAGCCUGCGUUGAAUUAGCUAGUUGGUGAGAUAAAAAGCUCACCAAGGCGACGAUUCAUAGCUGUUCUGAGAGGAAGAUCAGCCACACUGGGACUGAGACACGGCCCAGACUCCUACGGGAGGCAGCAGUAGGGAAUAUUGGACAAUGGGGGCAACCCUGAUCCAGCAAUACCGCGUGUGUGAAGAAGGCCUGAGGGUCGUAAGCACUUUUAGUACUGAGAAAGGUGUCGUUAGUGAAUAGCUAAAGGCAUUGAUGUCAAAUACAGAAAAGCACGGCUAAUCCGUGCCAGC